rnacentral:rRNA from 1 species
ACCUGCUAGCCGCAGUAUUUUGACUGUGCAAAGGUAGCAUAAUCAUUUGUCUUUUAAUUGAAGGCUAGUAUGAAUGGUAAGACGAGAAUUUAACUGUCUAUGAAUUUUAUUUUUAAUUGCAAAAGUUUAAAUAACAUUAAGGGACGAUCAGACCCCGUGGAGUUUUUUAGUUGGGGCGACAAAAUUUGAUCCUAGAAGUUAGAUUGGAAGAUUAAAUUACCCCGGGGAUAACAGCGUUAUACUUUUGGAGAGUUCAUAUCGAUAAAAGAGUUUGCGACCUCGAUGUUGGAUCAGGAUUUUUUUAAGAUGCAGCAGUCUUAAACGAGAGUCUGUUCGACUCUUAAAUUCCU